AGCCUACAAACUACUAGUCCAUAAGUAGGUAGCCCAUAUGGAAGAAAGGAGAGCUAGGCGAAAGCCACAAAGAAGUAAGUGAGCUAGGCAUUCCUGGUUGUCCACGUUGAAAGAAAGAAAUAGAUAGCUGGAAAAGACUAGCACUAUCCAACUAGUUGUUUCGUUCCUGCUGUCCAAACAAAGCUAACUAUUCGUUCCCGUAGCAAAAGGGGGAAUGUAGAAAGAAGUAGAUUGCUUUUAUUGCUAGGAACUACUAACUGACCUCACCCGAUUUCCUCUAUAAAUUCUCAGAUCUAAAUGGCAGAGCAAAUAGAUCUAGCACCGAGACAGAGAUAAUUCAGCUCCUUGAUUUAGCUUAACACGCUUAUCUUUCUAUUCUAUAAUCAACACCAUUCUUGGAUAUCUUCCAUAGUCACCUUUAGAUUCUUCGGUAUCUUCCCUCCCCUAACCCUAGUUACCUUUACUUUUGCAUCUGUAAGCCAUCCCUGAUCCUGCCAUAAUAUACUCCCGCCAAUUCUAUUGCACCGGCAACCGAAGUCGAACAUACAUACGAUGAUCUUCAUGCGUGAAGGGACGGGAGGAAAGAAAGGGCGGUAGAUGAUAAUGCAAAAGGGCACGCGUCUGGGCGGGCGGGCGGGCUGAAUGGAUGAGCGAAAGAUGCCAUGGAGUGGGGAAUAUCCCCAGUCUAAAGUUAUACAACUAAAUGCACUUUAAGGUGCUGCCGAGGAACUGGGGGACCUUCUCGAGCACAGGAUAGGCAAUUGAGAGAUAGAGUUAGCCUAUUCGUUAUGGGGAAUCAAUGCUCCGGACCGACAGGAAGGGUAGAAGAAGCGAUCUGCGCAUUUCUUUAUUUCACAACGAACGUUAGAUAAAUCAUUUCUUAGGUAUGCUACAUUCUUAGUAUAACCCUUGGAGGUUGACUUUGAGAAUCGAAUCCUAUCAACGGCCCUGGAUAGCGAUAAGGCACGGGCAACGGAAAUCUGCUUAAACUAAUGCUACCCUCUCAUUCCAGUGCCUUGAGGAGUCAAGAAGCACACAAGAAGUUCACGAGAGAGGUACUUGAGCUUAGGAUCCAAGUAAGCAUCCCUUUCCCCUGCUUUUGCGCUUAGCCGUGCUCUUGUGAGUGACACGCUACGCCCCACCCAAUGUUCCAGAAUUCCUGUUCAAUCAGUCAAGACUUCCUUACACUCUCAUUUUAGCUUUCUUACACGUCGUCUAUUGAAUCCGAAAUGAAUAUUACCCAAGGCACUGAUAUUCUGAGAGUUCACUCUUUUCCACCACAAUUGAAUGCUUCUUAUUUAUUGGUCAUAAAGCACACAUGACCUUACCGUGUUUAGUAAUAAAUGUUAUGAAAUAUAAGGCUCAGGGUGUCGCCCUCACAUUCAUCAGAGCAAAAACCCAAAGAACUUGUUUAGCCAGGGAUGUCCCUCCAAAGAACAACCUUUUUUUCUCACUGAAGAAACAGGUUUCAGCUUUAGACAAAAGAAGUCUACUCUGCGGGUGAUACAAAGGGAAAACGAGUGUGGUAAGUUGUAGACAUCUAGAACUCAAAUAACUUAUCAACAAAGCUAUCUUUUGAUAGCAUUUCAAUGGCUUAUUCAAGGUCAAUCCGUUAUAAAUGACAUACUGCACAGGUGCUGUUCUUCAUAGCUUCUAUUGGUCAACUUGCAUUCUUCACUGACAUACAUCAAUUAGCAAGGAGAAGAAACACUCCUGUCAAUCCUAGAGUUCUAAUCUCUCUUCCUCACCGCGGGUAAUUCACUGACUUAAGAUAUGAAAAAGUGUGGCAAGCAGGCAAUGAGAAAAUAGUGCUAAGGUAAGUCAGGAGAUUCCAAGCUAAGGCCCUUGAUUUUACCCUUCCGUGUGGAAUCUUGACCAUUAUGGACUUGGUACAAUGUCUUCCAUUCCUUAGUAGCAGUGAGGUGAGGCUGCUAGCAUCUGGGAAUACCCUUUGAACCUGUUCAAUUAGAUCAGGGGUGAUCUCAUCUCGUCUUGCUUCGAGAGAGGAAGCUGACGGACCAAAGACAAAUAGACAGCGUGAACUCAGCAAUCAGACCGGCAUGAAUCAGUACCUAUCCCUUACGGGAAUCUCCACUAUGAAUAAGUCUUUCUCGAGUAACUGAGACUCAACGUGUAGGCGUUGGAAGCAGAAAUAGGAGAUGGGUCGUUCUAGCUCGGCAAGAGGAUUCUGGAACAUCCAAGUCCUAGCUAUAACAUAGACAAGAAAGUUGGGUCAGAUCUCUCGCUGCUGGCUUACUAAAUGUAAGAGAACUUGCGGUGAAAAGGGUACUCCCAAUUGCUGUAACAGAACUCGCAAGUAGAAGAACGCCUGUCGAAAGAAUUAACACGCCAAAAGGGCCACCAGCUUUCCCCCAAAAAAGGGGAGAUCCGCUGCUUACUGCUCACGGAAACAUCCUCACAAAGGUUUUUCUUCUAAAGGAAAGAGGGCUAAGAAGUUCCAGGUAAGCGAUCUACUCAUCUCCUGCUGAAGGCAAUCUCUAUUACCGGAACAUUUUUUCUUAUUCUUUACCCUGGCUGGCCGAUCUCUGAGUGAGUUAAGAGAAUUCUCGCCGUAUGAAAGCGAUACUCUAACUGCUGAGUCAAGUAGGUCAAGCUGAGAAAAUUGAAAAAAAGAGAAAGCCAACUAAAGCGCAACCAGAGUUCCCCGCGAGGUGGAACGCUAAGAAAGAGAAUACCAAGUAUAGUUCAAAUGGUCCCCCGUGCUCAACUAGAUAUGAUCCAAAGGUACAGUACAUCCAUAGUUAAAUAUUGGAUAGGUCUAGAGAGGUGGGUGAUGAAUAUGCAAUUAACUUUUGUUAGCCCAGUACCCCUAAUUGCUUAUAAUCGUAGUCUCCAGAUCACCCUGGCCUUUCUAGACUCUUUCAUCAUUCAUUUUGUGACAGAUUCGUAGACUCAAAAUGCCCAAGUGGCAAGUAAGAUAAAAGCACAAUGAAUUUGCAAAUGUGGGGGGAGGAUUGAAAUUAAGUGGUUGUCAAGUGCUAGGCUUGAUGGGGCAUCCAUGUCGGUGUUUUAUACCCGGCAACCUACCGAGAGGUAUCCCGAGGUAGUAGAUUGGUUGGUGGGGGAUCGCCGGA
rnacentral:lncRNA from 1 species